GGAUAAUGCUGCUCAUUUGUUAUUAUUAAUGUCCCUUUUUUACAAGUUUAACAUUAUUUUACCCCAUGUGUUUGUAAUGCUAGGGUUUCUUUGUUUUGGUGUUUGGAACGCUUUUAGAAAGAACGGUCCGUGAAUCACUAUCAGGAAAGCUGUCAUUAAACAGUUUGACUCGUCCCAAGAGCACUAGUGCGGAAACAUUUUCAAGUAGACUGGGUUUCUUCCAAAGGAAGCUGAGGAAAAAUGUGUACAACACGUCUGACCACAGUGCAGCUUCAUCCUCAAACCACUUCAGUGCCUCGGACUCAUAAACAUUCUUCAUUAACUACAUGUAACAAAGCCUUUCAUCUGCUGUGAUCUGCAUGUCAUCUCCAUAAUGUGUUUCUGUGAUAAAACUACUGUAAUUACUUAUGUAAUAUGAAAUGUAUGUGAUGACUGCUGUUAGUGGUUAUGGUAUAUGGUAUAUGUUCAUUUUUUCAAGGACCAGGGUUAGUUGUCAAACUUUCUAUUGAAUGUUUUUCAGGGUAUAGUUGGGUAUCGCACUGCAUUUACUAUUUAAUUAAAAAAUUGAAAAUGUAAGAGUCUGUUUAAUAAUAGGUACUUCUACUUUAGUCAAUUUCUAAUCAUUUAAUCACAAAAUGGUAUAUUAAUAUACUGACUGAUGUUUGGCUUGGUGAUUUUUUUUAAUGGAUUUUAAUGUAAUAAAAUUUAACAAAUCAGGGCUGCUGCUGUCCAAAUGGGUGCCCUAGGAAGAUUUUUACUUUGGUGCUUUUUAG